rnacentral:rRNA from 1 species
GACGAACGCUGGCGGCGUGCCUAAUACAUGCAAGUCGAACGAAGCUGUUUUAACUGGUGCUUGCACCGACUUAAACAACUGAGUGGCGAACGGGUGAGUAACACGUGGGUAACCUGCCCCAAAGCGGGGGAUAACAUUUGGAAACAGAUGCUAAUACCGCAUAACCACAGAAACCACAUGGUUUCUGUGUCAAAGAUGGUUUCGGCUAUCACUUUGGGAUGGACCCGCGGCGUAUUAGCUAGUUGGUAAGGGAAUGGCUUACCAAGGCAAUGAGACAGAGCCGAACUGAGAGGUUGAACGGCCACAUUGGGACUGAGACACGGCCCAAACUACUACGGGAGGCAGCAGUCGGGAAUCUUCCACAAUGGCAGAAAGUCUGAUGGAGAAACGCCGCGUGAGUGAAGAACGUUUUCGGAUCGUAGAACGCUGUUGUCAGAGAAGAACGUGUGCGAGAGUAACUGCUCGUGCAGUGACGGUAUCUGGCCAGAAAGCCACGGCUAACUACGUGCCAGCCGCCGCCGUAA